UACGUAGGGACCGAGCGUUGUCCGGAAUCAUUGGGCGUAAAGAGCGUGUAGGCGGCCAAUUAAGUCCUGCGUGAAAUCUCGGGGCUCAACCCCGAGCGGUCGUGGGAAACUGGUUGGCUAGAGUGCGGGAGAGGAGAGUGGAAUUCCUGGUGUAGCGGUGAAAUGCGCAGAUAUCAGGAAGAACACCCGUGGCGAAGGCGGCUCUCUGGAACACAGCUGACGCUGAGACGCGAAAGCGUGGGGAGCAAACAGG
rnacentral:rRNA from 1 species